AUUGAACGCUGGCGGCAUGCCUUACACAUGCAAGUCGAACGGCAGCACGGGAGCUUGCUCCUGGUGGCGAGUGGCGAACGGGUGGGUAAUACAUCGGAACGUGCCGAAGAGGGGGGGAUAGCUCGGCGAAGGCCGGAUUAAUAGCGCAUGCGACCUACGGGAGAAAGCGGGGGACCGGAAGGCCGCGCGAUAUUGGAGCGGCAGAUGUCUGAUUAGCUUGUUGGUGGGGUAAAAGCCCAACAAGGCGACGAUCAGUAGCGGGUCUGAGGGGACGAUCAGCCACACUGGGACUGAGACCCGGCCCAGACUCCUACGGGAGGCAGCAGUGGGGAAUUUUGGACAAUGGGGGCAACCCUGAUCCAGCAAUGCCGCGUGUGCGAAGAAGGCCUUCGGGUUGCAAAGCACUUUUGUCAGGGAAGAAAUCUUUCAGGCUAAUACCCUCGGAAGGAUGACGGUACCUGAAGAAUAAGCACCGGCUAACUACGUGCCAGCAGCCGCAGUAA
rnacentral:rRNA from 1 species